rnacentral:SRP_RNA from 1 species
GCCGGGCAUGGUGGUGCAUGCCUGUAAUCCCAGCUACUUGGGAGGCUGAGGCAGGAGAAUUGCUUGAACCCGGGAGGUGGAGGUUGCAGUGAGCCGAGAUCGUGCCACUGCACUCUAGCCUGGGCAACAGAGCAAGACUCCGUUUCAA